rnacentral:misc_RNA from 1 species
GAGAGAGAGAGUUACUUGCUCUCAAGUCGCUGCUCAUCUGGACUUACAGAUGCAUAACAUGCGCGGGGGGUGCGUAGAAUAAAAUACUUGAUCCAUCGUCAUUGAGAAGGGAAGGAAUAGUUUAGUAGGGCGAGUGAAAUUUGGCAAGCGGCUGAGAAAGCUUCCUUAUAGGACCACUUGCUUUUAACGGACAACAAUUAAAGCUGUUUCGAUAUUUCUCUCCCCACUCUCAUCUUUUAGCGCG